rnacentral:rRNA from 1 species
GAUGAACGCUGGCGGCGUGCUUAACACAUGCAAGUCGAACGGUGAACGAGGGAGCUUGCUCCCUCCGGAUCAGUGGCGAACGGGUGAGUAACACGUGAGCAAUCUGCCCUGGACUCUGGGAUAAGCGUUGGAAACGACGUCUAAUACCGGAUACGAGGCGUGGGGGCAUCCCCAACGCCUGGAAAGAACUUCGGUCCAGGAUGAGCUCGCGGCCUAUCAGCUAGUUGGUGAGGUAACGGCUCACCAAGGCGACGACGGGUAGCCGGCCUGAGAGGGUGACCGGCCACACUGGGAGUGAGACACGGCCCAGACUCAUACGGGAGGCAGCAGUGGGGAAUAUUGCACAAUGGGCGCAAGCCUGAUGCAGCAACGCCGCGUGAGGGACGACGGCCUUCGGGUUGUAAACCUCUUUUAGCAGGGAAGAAGCGAAAGUGACGGUACCUGCAGAAAAAGCACCGGCUAACUACGUGCCAGCAGCCGCGGUAACAC